GUGGGGAAUCUUGCGCAAUGGGCGAAAGCCUGACGCAGCCAUGCAGCGUGAAUGAUGAAGGUCUUAGGAUUGUAAAAUUCUUUCACCGGGGACGAUAAUGACGGUACUCGGAGAAGAAGCCCCGGCUAACUUCGUGCCAGCAGCCGCGGUAAUACGACGGGGGCUAGCGUUGCUCGGAAUUACUGGGCGUAAAGGGAGCGUAGGCGGAUAGUUUAGUCAGAGGUGAAAGCCCAGGGCUCAACCUUGGAAUUGCCUUUGAUACUGGCUAUCUUGAGUAUGGAAGAGGUAUGUGGAACUCCGAGUGUAGAGGUGAAAUUCGUAGAUAUUCGGAAGAACACCAGUGGCGAAGGCGACAUACUGGUCCAUUACUGACGCUGAGGCUCGAAGGCGUGGGGAGCAAACAGGAUUAGAUACCCUGGUAGUCC
rnacentral:rRNA from 1 species